rnacentral:snRNA from 1 species
AGAUAUGAGGUCAUCUGGCUAAAACAUCUGUCACCCCGUUAAUUGCCUGUAUUGAUUCAGCUGAUCUGGCUGGCUAGGUGGCUGUCCCCUUCCUCCCUCAUUGCUUCCAAAGCUUCAGGCUCAGUCUAAGAGGACAACCUUCCCCAAUAGAGGAGGAUUGUCCUUCAGUCAAGGGUAUAUGAGUAGCUGUGCUCCCCUGCUAGACCAAACAAACUCUCAGAUUGACAUGCCUAUAGGUGAUCCAGAUGGAAUUUUCUCCUGGCUCUUGGUUGAUCUGGGUCUAAAU